UACGUAGGGUGCAAGCGUUGUCCGGAAUUAUUGGGCGUAAAGAGCUCGUAGGCGGUUUGUCGCGUCGAAUGUGAAAACCCGGGGCUCAACCCCGGGCCUGCAUUCGAUACGGGCGGACUAGAGUUCGGUAGGGGAGUCUGGAAUUCCUGGUGUAGCGGUGAAAUGCGCAGAUAUCAGGAGGAACACCGGUGGCGAAGGCGGGACUCUGGGCCGAUACUGACGCUGAGGAGCGAAAGCGUGGGGAGCAAACAGG
rnacentral:rRNA from 1 species